rnacentral:lncRNA from 1 species
ACCCUUCCAAGCUGAAAACCCAUGUUCUGUUGCAUACAAGCUUCCCAUGCAUGGAGAUGGUUUAGUGGAAGUCAGUACCUUAAAUGACAAAGGCCAUUUUCUGAAGCCCCAAACCCCGGAUCCAUUUUAAUCACCCUUGGUGUUUUAUUAGAAUCAUCUCAGGGAGAAGUAGGAGCAAAAAGAGACAUCCUUAGAUGACCUGAAGAGUCAGCUAAAUGGCCUGCCAUCUCUCAUGAUUCUCCAUCACACUCAUUUGCCUCUCUUGCCGUCAUCUGCUUAUUUCCUCUUCUCCAUCUCUGACUCUGCCCAUGACCCUCUCAGGCCUGUUUGAUUUCCUUCUGGUGGGAGGGGAGAGUACCUUUCCAGACUAGCAACAAUUGGCUUCAGGGCCCUGCUCAGUACCUGUGCCCUCCUUACCCAGGCCCUACUUUCCUCCCAGCCCCUUGCCUACAACCUUAGUCAGAUUAUCAGAAACACUUCUAGUCAUUGACUAUGAGUAAAACAUCCACAAUCAUCAGAAACUAGCUCUCAUUGAGGGCCAGUUUAUCCUCACUCCCCACUACCAUGCUCCAUCAGGUUUUCUCCACUGCAAGGCCAACAGCCUCUAUCAUGAUGCUAAUUAUCUCCACAUUAGCACCUCAACUGUGAUGCCACUGUCCAUGCCACAUCCCAGCAUGCUAACAAGGAGACUUACUCCACUCCUAUCCAAUGACUUGUUCAGCCCUUGAUCCAUGGAGAUAAGAAAUGAGAGCACCUUCUAGAAACCAACUUCCAAGCUUUGGCUUCCACAAGCACCCCACUGCCUAGCUCAUCUGCCCCACCCAGAUCUGAACACCAUGAGCAAGAUCAUCAGGAGUUUCCUGGGAGCCUUAACAAAAUUCUGAACAGUUUCCAUAAAGUGGGUAGAAGUGAGUAAAUGCAAGGCUUUCUGGAACCAUAGAAGACUAUAUAAAUUUUCUUUGUAAAUUAGGAGAACCAUAUUCAGUGGAAAUAGAAAUAGAAAAGACUUUGAAGAUUUGGCAGGUAAGUUAACUGGGUCAUUCCAGGGCUGUCUCUCGUAACCCUCUCAGUCCAGCCUCAGCCUCUGCUGUCACUAAUCUCUCCAUCUUGUCUCUGCCUUCUUCUCUGUGUCUCUCCUCUCUCUGGCCUACCUUAUCUUCCCCUCUCCCUACUUGCUUUUCCCCCAGACAUUAUAGAAGAGAGUUCCUUAGGUAGUAGGCUAGUCCAGGUGGCUUUGCAUUUCAACUGUUGCUCAAAGAGAGCUUGUUGGUUCCCCUACAGAUACAUAUUUAAGUGGAAUUUGGGGUCUCAAAAGCACUCUUUGCUCUUCCUUCAACAUCACCUUCUCUUAGCUACCUCAGAGCUGCCCAGUCUGCACCCCUCCCAACAAAUGCCAAUCAUUCGAUGACUUGCUAAAAAGAGAGCACACAUUAGUGAGGGUAGGAAGGCCAAGGGAAAUGGAGUAUUGACAUCAGGAGUUUCAUUUUUUCUGUUCAGAACCUUGACGCACUGUACUAUGCACUCUCUGUUUAGGAGCCUCAGCUGAUACACACCCUGCUUGCCAAAUAGAAAAUUUAGAAGAGUCUUUUCCUCUCUUCCCUCAGAAAUUUGUGGUGCCUGAGUCGGUUGACAUUUGUGACAAUGAUUGUUGGGAAUUUCCAAUGGAGUCUUGAAUCUCACCACCAUUCCCUUUUCUUAGGAGAGACAACUAGGGGGGCUCCUCCCCAUGACCCCACCCCAGCAAUCAUGACAACUGUUAUGUAUAUCAUACAUGGUUCACCCAGGGCCUAACCAUGCCACAACCCAUUCUACUUCUCACCUGUUCCCCUCUCUUUCACCUCACUUCUAACAGGCUCUAUUGAAGACACUUGGAAGGGCAGCCUCUCCCCAUGCCUACUUCCCAUCCUUUGGGUUUCCAGCUGCAGAACAUACCAGCACCCUCUCUCUUUAGUUCAAUUCUUCCCUCUCAUUCACCCAAUGGAGGAGUGGUUUCUGCAGCUCUCAUAAUCACGGGGGGAGAGAAGCGGACAAGUAGAAUGGACUAUUUUCCUGGCACUCUUUUACUUCUCCACUCACUUCCUCCAACUGCCUUUGAACUACUAGACUUGAACGACCCCUCCCCUACCCUUCCAAAGGGAGCAAUAAUAAUAGCUAGCACUUACUGAGUGACAACUAUGUACCAAGCGUGGUUUGCUCAGCUUUUCUGGGACUCCAGCUCUCAGUCCCUGUGGCACUCUCUCUUUCCUUUGUCAAACUUUCCAUCUCUCAACUCCCUGUCUCAUCUCUCUUUAUCUCCAACUCCAUCUUCUAACCAGUUAUGGGGUAAUCCACUGUCAUUCUUCCAGAGGCCCCAUCUUAUGUGACUAGACCCUUCAAGGAUAGGCCACCCCAUCUCUAUGCUCGGACCAUCACUAGCUACUCUCAGGAAUUGUCUCAUGGUCCAGGCUACCCUUUUCACCAUCCAAGCCAGCUCUUACCACAACCACUGCCUCAUCACCCCACUGCCAGUUAGCCCCCGAUUCCUGGACCUUAAGAGUCCCCUGAAGUGACCCCAUCCUUUCCCCCAGGUCCCAGAACCUAUCCAGACCCCAAGAAUGGCCACGGCAUUUCACACAGGUUACAAAAGCUGCAAUAAGCAUUUUUGACUCCAGCCUUCUGCUGCGUGACUCCUCUGUCCCCAUUCCCGGCCACCUUUCCCCUCCCUCCUGCCCACUCACUUGCCCACCAACUGUUUAGCAAAGCAAAACCCCCUUUAUAAAAUGAUUCAUUCAAUAUGACACUCUCAUUUCUCCUGAAGGGUUCGUUUGUACUUUUAGAGCCCCAAACGCAUUCCUUCUUUGGAAAUUUCUUUACACCCUUUACUGAGAAGACCCUGGAUUUUGAGUGUGAAAAAUGGCUGAAUCUACUUCGGAAAAGAAUAAAACCGUUACCCCAGGAUCUCGCAAAGCGAGAAUUGACUGUUUCCUGAUAAAAGGUCCUUUGGAAACUUUGAUUCUCUUCUCACCAAGUUGAACGGAGAUGUGUUCCCAUAGUAAGAGUGAGGCCCCUGCAUUUGCUGCCCUCGGUUUUCCCAACUAACACCAGGGCCUCCCCCCUGUACCCCAUUCAUAUGCCUCAGAAGCUGACAAUGACUGUUGGGCUUUUCCAAUGAAUACCAGAACACCAUUUCCUGCAGCCUGAAAAGAAGACAGUAUAAUUGUUUGGCAGCAAGAGGCCAAGCAGGAAACUAGAGAUAUGGUGACGGUAGUGGUCCCAGGGAGGAGCUUUAACCUGAGCACCACCCACAGAAGGCAGACCACCCUCCCAGCCGCAGUGCAAAUGAAUGUUGGCCCCCACCCAGGUCCCCAAGUGCUUUCCCAGUCACGCCCCAGCUGCCAGGUUUUUUUCUCCAGGCCUACUACAGAUGGGUUACCCUGACUCCACCCCCAACACCCUCCAAUGAUUAGAACCACUGACUCCUCCCUCCCAUGCCUGCCUCCAUGGCAGGCCCCUGCAGAAACCAAACAUAGUCACCUUAGACUCUGGCAUACUGAGACCAGGGCUUGAUCCUGGCCCCCUUGCCUCCCUGGCAAUUUAUCAUUUAAUAAAAAUAUUGUUAAAAAAUAUUCAUGCGUCUAAAAUAUGUGUAUUGUUUCAGAAUGUAGCAUCAAAUUACAUCCCAGCUACCCGGGAGGCUGAGGCAGGAGACUCGCUUGAACCCAGGAGGCGGAGGUUGCAGUAAGCUGAGAUUGCGCCACUGCACUCCAGCCUGGGCGACAAGAGUGAAACUCCGUCUUAAAAUAAAAAUUUUAAAAAAUUGGUUUCCCUGGGCACAGGACAUUGCACCGGAUUGGGGAGCAUUUCCCCUACUCUGUUAGGACAUUAUGUAACAAAGACUGAGGGUUCUUGUGUUAUUUAUAACAAAAGGCCAAAAAUAGUUACAUUUGAGUUGGUUCAUGUAGUGAACUAUUGUGUAGCUGUUAAAAGGCAUUUGAAGACUUUUUCAUGACAGAAGGAAAAAGGCAUAUUCCAAAACUGUAUGUACAGUAUGUUCAUAAUUUUAUAAAGUAUCUAUGUGCAUAGGAACUUUGCAGAAAGACACCAAAAUCUCCAGAAGUUGGAAUUCUGGCUGAUUUUUAUUUUAUCAUUUUUUUUUAUUUUCCACAAUGAACAUUAUUAUCAUGAGAAUAAAAGAAAUCCCAUAUUAUAAAAGUUGUUGGGUCUUCCCUGCUGGAAAUGAAGAAGGAAUCACAGCUGCUCUGGUGAGGGAGCUGUUAGGUCCAGUGCUCUCUGACACUUGACUGCUUAGGCCAGCGGAGGUGGAAGGCCCAAAUGGGAGUCAGAUCCUGUAAUCCUGCCAACCAUCAGGAGGAGACAGAUUUAGAUCUGGUGGAGGACAAGGCAGUCUGUUCCUCCCUCACCGCCUCCCACUCACUUUUCCUUUCUCUUGCACCUUCUUUGUGCUGUAGUGACAAGCACUCUGCUCUUAAGGGCAGAAGACCUGGGUCCACAUCUUGACCCUCACACCCCCUAGAUAGGUGGCUGGAUGAAUUUUUCAGUCCUACCAAACCUUACCCCGUUUACCUAUAAGACACAGAGCAGAAGCCUCAGAUUGAUCAUUAGCAGCUCAAUCGUACCUAAGGGACUUUGCAAUUUUUUUUUAACACACCCACAUCUUCUUAACAGCAACUCUUUUCCCUCUUUCUAGAAUGUCAUGUGGUUAAUUCCUUCUUGUCAUUUGGGUCUCAGAG